rnacentral:rRNA from 1 species
GGGUUGUGAGGUUAAGCGACUAAGCGUACACGGUGGAUGCCCUGGCAGUCAGAGGCGAUGAAGGACGUGCUAAUCUGCGAUAAGCGCCGGUAAGGUGAUAUGAACCGUUAUAACCGGCGAUUUCCGAAUGGGGAAACCCAGUGUGACUCGUCACACUAUCAUUAACUGAAUCCAUAGGUUAAUGAGGCGAACCGGGGGAACUGAAACAUCUAAGUACCCCGAGGAAAAGAAAUCAACCGAGAUUCCCCCAGUAGCGGCGAGCGAACGGGGAGGAGCCCAGAGCCUGAAUCAGCAUGUGUGUUAGUGGAAGCGUCUGGAAAGGCGCGCGAUACAGGGUGACAGCCCCGUACACAAAAGCGCAUAUGCUGUGAGCUCGAUGAGUAGGGCGGGACACGUGGUAUCCUGUCUGAAUAUGGGGGGACCAUCCUCCAAGGCUAAAUACUCCUGACUGACCGAUAGUGAACCAGUACCGUGAGGGAAAGGCGAAAAGAACCCCGGCGAGGGGAGUGAAAAAGAACCUGAAACCGUGUACGUACAAGCAGUGGGAGCCCCACCACUAAGCCAGUGGUGAACUCCACAUACGCAUCCUUUGCUGAGGAUGCGGUUAACGGAGCGAAAGCGACGUUCAACCGCAAAAGAAGCAGAGGGGGCUUAGUGGUGGGGUGACUGCGUACCUUUUGUA